rnacentral:rRNA from 1 species
UACGUAGGGGCAAGCGUUGUCCGGAACUAUUGGGCGUAAAGAGCUUGUAGGCGGUUUGUCGCGUCUGCUGUGAAAAUCCGGGGCUCAACCCCGGACUUGCAGUGGGUACGGGCAGACUAGAGUGUGGUAGGGGAGACUGGAAUUCCUGGUGUAGCGGUGAAAUGCGCAGAUAUCAGGAGGAACACCGAUGGCGAAGGCAGGUCUCUGGGCCACUACUGACGCUGAGAAGCGAAAGCAUGGGGAGCGAACAGGAUUAGAUACCCGCGUA